rnacentral:rRNA from 1 species
UACGCAGGUGGCAAGCGUUACUCGGAAUCACUAGGCGUAAAGCGCAGGUAGGCGGUUCGGUAAGUCUCUUGUGAAAGCUCCCGGCUCAACUGGGAGAGGUCAAGGGAAACUACCGGGCUAGAGUGUGGCAGAGGAAGCUGGAAUUCCCGGUGUAGCGGUGAAAUGCGUAGAGAUCGGGAGGAAUACCUAUGGCGAAAGCAGGCUUCUGGGCCGUCACUGACGCUGAUCUGCGAAAGCUAGGGGAGCAAACAGG